GUGGACUUCAACUCCCAGAAUUCCUCAGCCAGCGCAUGCUGGCUGAGGAAUUCUGGGAGUUGACGUCCACAAGUCAUAAAGUUGCCAAGUUUGCGGACCUCUGAGUUUAAGGAUCUGGGUUUCAUGCUGUGUUAUUCAAGUAAUACAUCCAGUCCAGGUUGUUUUGAACACCUAGGAAAGUUAAACAAUAACCCUCUCUUUGGUAAAGAUGCCCAAUAUAUGCCAGCUGUCACGAACUGUUUUGAAGGCAAGAAGUUGGCACAGCUCCUAUAGGAGUUCAGUUAUUAAACCCAGACCCCAAUUAUGAUAAAUUAAACAGGAUUUAAACCAUCUUCUUAGGAAAGUUAUUCUGAGUGGUGAAAUGUGUGUCCUGGACAGAAGAAAGAAUCUUUUGGGGGAGAAAAAGAUCCUAAAAUAAUUCAGAGUUUAAAGAAUCUGUGUUUUACCAAUUGCAAAGCAGCCCAAACAUGUUCACAUGUCUUUUUUUUAACUUCCUAGAAAGGUCCUGAAACAAGUAUAAAGAACAUGAAAAGAACUGGCUCUUAUUGGUAUUAAUUAAAAGCUAAUGGGUAGAAAUGUGUAUAUUUAAUAUUUCAAAAUAAAAAAAAAAGAUUGGCAUUGGUAAUUCAAUAGUUAGAAUCAUUCAUCCUAAUGGAAACAUCUCAAAAAACAUCUGUGGUACAAAGAACCACCUUUGGCUUUUCCUACAGCAUCUUUAUCUUGAAAUUCGACUGUUGGAUGUGACAUCAAAGUAAAAGUAUUCACACUUAGCUGAUAAUUGUUUAUUAAAAAAAAUGAAAUCUCACUGGUCACAUGAGCCAGCGGAAGCUUUUGAAAUGAUUGUUUCAUAUUGUUAUUUAAAGCAAAGCAUCUUAAAAGGAAGGUGAGAACAUAAUUCUGUUGGAUAAAAUAACGGCUUCAACUACGUCAAAUGCAUUAUAUCAAGAAAGCAAAGCAGGCUGAAAAAUGCUGUACAGAUACACUUCCACAGGAAAAACAAACAUGUUAAUUAUAGCAAAAUUGAAAUCAAUUUGCAACUAAACCUCAGUGAUCUUCAAUAUAUGUAAAAGCAUCCUUUGUUAAAUUGACAAAUUCAGCAGACUGAUGCAAACAUGCUCAAAAGCAAACUACUUAUUGCAUGUAAAUUACGCAUAUAUUCUAUAUGACGCCAGGGACAUUUUUUGUUCUGACAGACACUAUAGGAAAAAUAUUUGCACAAGCAGCUCAUAGAACUGAAAUAUACCCUUCUUAAAUAGUAAAUUAUGCUAUGUGGACCUAAACGAUAGAAGUCACAUGGCAGCUGUCGG